rnacentral:rRNA from 1 species
GACGAACGCUGGCGGCGUGCUUAACACAUGCAAGUCGAACGGAAAGGCCUGCUUUUGUGGGGUGCUCGAGUGGCGAACGGGUGAGGAACACGUGAGUAACCUGCCCUUGACUUUGGGAUAACUUCAGGAAACUGGGGCUAAUACCGGAUAAGAGCUCCUGCUGCAUGGUGGGGGUUGGAAAGUUUCGGCGGUUGGGGAUGGACUCGCGGCUUAUCAGCUUGUUGGUGGGGUAGUGGCUUACCAAGGCUUUGACGGGUAGCCGGCCUGAGAGGGUGACCGGCCACAUUGGGACUGAGAUACGGCCCAGACUCCUACGGGAGGCAGCAGUGGGGAAUAUUGCACAAUGGGCGGAAGCCUGAUGCAGCAACGCCGCGUGCGGGAUGACGGCCUUCGGGUUGUAAACCGCUUUCGCCUGUGACGAAGCGUGAGUGACGGUAAUGGGUAAAGAAGCACCGGCUAACUACGUG